rnacentral:lncRNA from 1 species
CAAGCCAAAGGCCGUCCAGGGCGAGGUGCCGGGAGGCGCGCGUCCCCGCACACCGACUGCGGUGACAAACUGCCGAUUCCCACACACACAAGUAGCAGCAGCAGCUACAUCCCAUUACAGUGCUUUCGGGGACACUGAGAAGUCAUUUGCUAUUUYCAGUGGCGCUACACAAGCCAAGGAACCUGUCUGGAGAAUGGAYAACAGCAUCAAAAAAUAAAUCUGCUCUCUAAGGGCACACAUCUAUUAUACAUUUGCUAUAAAAGAGUUUACGUGCUGACUAAUUCCAAAGUUUUCUUGCUUUUGGGCAUCCUGUGCAAGGAAAAGCCCUUACAACUCCUUUGGGAAUGUCAUCCGUGUGCUGAACUGAUGACUGGGCUAUUCUGGCUUGUCUGAUCGGCUCUACAACAGCGUAAAUCCAGUCUGACCACCCACCUCUGGGACGUUCCCCCAGCAUGCACCCACAGGAACAGGAGGAAGUACAUCUUUCUGCAUCUGAGGCACUUGCGCAUGGCGCACAUGGCCAUGGAAGAGCUGCAGCCUAGAUGGGACAGCGCAACUCAGCUGGGAAGAAAAUGAAAUGGAUUUUCAGAAGACUAAGAAUACUAUAUUUCCAGUUGGAGCAAACUGCUUGUGCCAGUUCUCUGGGAAGGAGAAGGAAAUAA